rnacentral:lncRNA from 1 species
GCUGUUAUACUGAAAUCCCAGUUCAGUAAAUUACAAGCAGAUCAGGUCAACCCUAGACUGUCAUACUAAUCACCAUCUCCAAUGGGGCUCCUAAAUCAUUCUUUAAAAAAUAAUAUAAUAUAUGGUUCCUAACAAGUUAAUACAUUUAAUAUCGUGACAACUCAACACUAUUCUUUAUACUUGCUCUCUAUUUAUAUUUUAUUAUUAUUAGGGGGGAAAGUUGAAGAGAGAAUUGGAGAAAAGUGAAUAGAAUGGAAGGAAAGUGAAUAUUAUAUUCAAUAAUAAUAAGUUAAGAGCACCUAGAUACUAUUUAAAAGAGAGGAGAGAUAGAAGGCUAUUAGAUUUUUAAAGAGCACCUAAGAGCCCACUGCAUAAAUUUUUUACAUCUUUAAAUUUAAAGUUAAGAACUUGUUUGAAGAGCCCAUUGGAGAUACUCUUAAUCAAUACAGAAGACAUCUUUAAUGUUGUGUUUGGUUGGGGAGAAUGGAAUGGAAUGGAAUGAAAUGAGUAAAAAUACUUGAAACUAAUAGAGAUAGGAAGAAAGUUUUGGAAAAAAAUUGAGGGAGGGCAAAAUUGCUAUGAUGAGAUUUGUGAAGAAAUUGAAGAUAGGAGAGAAUGGAGCAUUUCAUCUCAAAUUGGAGGUGUGAUAUCUAGCUUAUGAUGUAUGGAAUGGAAUGGAGGAAAGAAUGAAAUUUUUUAAAAAUUAUGCAUAAAAUAGUUCAUUUUUCCAUUCCAUUCCUUCCGGAAUCAUUCACCCCAACCAAACACAACAUAAGAAUUGAAUGAAGAAAAUCAGAAUUCAUGAAGCUGACUGGGUUGAUGCAAUAGUUUUAAGAAGAUAUCAAUAGUGUUCAACC